AAGAUUGAAGAACAUUAUUUAGGUGACACUCCAGAGAUGAAGUGUUCUCCAGGCUUUGUGACUGUGGUUCUCUUAAUGCUUGGACAAACCCAUGGAGACUCAGUGACACAGCUGGAAGGCCCAGUGACCCUCUCAGAAGAGGCUUUCCUGACUGUGAACUGUACUUACACAGUAGCGACAAGUUACCCCACUCUUUUCUGGUAUGUCCAGUAUCCAGGAGAAGGUCCAGAGCUCCUCCUGAAAGCCUCGAGGGACAAGGAGAAGGGAAGCAAGAAAGGAUUUGAAGCCACCUAUGACAGAGAUUCCAAAUCCUUCCACUUGCAGAAAGGCUCAGUGCAAGCGUCAGAUUCAGCUGUUUACUACUGUGCCGUGAGUGACACAGUGAUGGGGACUGCAGGGGCAGCUGAGCACAAACUCUGAGCAGAGCAGGGGCCUGGAUGCUGAGCGUCUCUGCCUGAUCCACUCUGGUUCCAGCACAGUCUAUGGUUGUCCCUCAGUGUCUGCUUGAUACAAAAUCAUACAAAUGAUCAGAGCAUAGGAACCAGA